rnacentral:misc_RNA from 1 species
AGAUGAAGAACGUAGCGAAACGCGAUAUGUAAUGUGAAUUGCAGAAUUCAGUGAAUCAUCGAAUCUUUGAACGCACAUGGCGCCUUCCAGUAUCCUGGGAGGCAUGCCUGUCCGAGCGUCGUUUCAACCCUCGAGCCCCCGUGGCCCGGCGUUGGGGAUCUGCCCAGGCAGUCCCCGAAAACCAGUGGCGGACCCGUUACAGGCCCUUCCCUUGCGUAGUAGCAUUCGCCUCGCAUCGGGAGCCGGCGGGCUUCCAGCCUCUAAACCCCCAUCAAGUCCGCCCCGGCGGCACCAAGGUUGACCUCGGAUCAGGUAGGAAUACCCGCUGAACUUAAGCAUAUCAAUAAGCGGAGGA